rnacentral:rRNA from 1 species
UACAGAGGUCUCAAGCGUUGUUCGGAUUCAUUGGGCGUAAAGGGUGCGCAGGCGGCGCGGUAAGUCGGGUGUGAAAUCUCGGAGCUUAACUCCGAAACUGCAUUCGAUACUGCCGUGCUUGAGGACUGGAGAGGAGACUGGAAUUUACGGUGUAGCGGUGAAAUGCGUAGAUAUCGUAAGGAAGACCAGUGGCGAAGGCGGGUCUCUGGGCAUUACCUGACGCUGAGGAGCGAAAGUGUGGGGAGCGAACAGG